rnacentral:rRNA from 1 species
GGGGAAUAUUGCGCAAUGGGGGAAACCCUGACGCAGCGACGCCGUGUGAGGGAAGAAGGCUUUCGGGUCGUAAACCUCUGUCAGGAGGGAAGAACCGCCAUGGUGCUAAGCAGCCGUGGUCUGACGGUACCUCCAAAGGAAGCACCGGCUAACUCCGUGCCAGCAGCCGCGGUAAUACGGAGGGUGCGAGCGUUAAUCGGAAUCACUGGGCGUAAAGCGCACGUAGGCUGUUUGGUAAGUCAGGGGUGAAAUCCCGCGGCUCAACCGCGGAAUUGCCCUUGAUACUGCUGGACUUGAGUCCGGGAGAGGGUGGCGGAAUUCCAGGUGUAGGAGUGAAAUCCGUAGAUAUCCGGAGGAACACCGGUGGCGAAGGCGGCCACCUGGACAGGUACUGACGCUGAGGCGCGAAAGCGGGGGGAGCAAACA